rnacentral:rRNA from 1 species
CGGCGUGCUUAACACAUGCAAGUCGAACGAAGAGCGAUGGAAGCUUGCUUCUAUCAAUCUUAGUGGCGAACGGGUGAGUAACGCGUAAUCAACCUGCCCUUCAGAGGGGGACAACAGUUGGAAACGACUGCUAAUACCGCAUACGAUCUGACCUCGGCAUCGAGGAUAGAUGAAAGGUGGCCUCUAUUUAUAAGCUAUCACUGAAGGAGGGGAUUGCGUCUGAUUAGCUAGUUGGAGGGGUAACGGCCCACCAAGGCGAUGAUCAGUAGCCGGUCUGAGAGGAUGAACGGCCACAUUGGGACUGAGACACGGCCCAGACUCCUACGGGAGGCAGCAGUGGGGAAUCUUCCGCAAUGGACGAAAGUCUGACGGAGCAACGCCGCGUGAGUGAUGACGGCCUUCGGGUUGUAAAGCUCUGUUAAUCGGGACGAAUGGUUCUUGUGCAAAUAGUGCAAGGAUUUGACGGUACCGGAAUAGAAAGCCACGGCUAACUACGUG